UACAGAGGGUGCGAGCGUUGUUCGGAAUUAUUGGGCGUAAAGGGUGCGUAGGCGGUGCGGUAAGUCUGUUGUGAAAUCUCCGGGCUCAACUCGGAGUCUGCAUCAGAAACUGCCGUGCUGGAGUGUGGGAGAGGUGAGUGGAAUUCCCGGUGUAGCGGUGAAAUGCGUAGAGAUCGGGAGGAACACCUGCGGCGAAAGCGGCUCACUGGACCAUAACUGACGCUGAUGCACGAAAGCUAGGGGAGCAAACAGG
rnacentral:rRNA from 1 species